rnacentral:rRNA from 1 species
UAGGGAAUCUUCGGCAAUGGACGGAAGUCUGACCGAGCAACGCCGAGUGAGUGAAGAAGGUUUUCGGAUCGUAAAGCUCUGUUGUUAGAGAAGAACGUUGGUAGGAGUGGAAAAUCUACCAAGUGACGGUAACUAACCAGAAAGGGACGGCUAACUACGUGCCAGCAGCCGCGGUAAUACGUAGGUCCCGAGCGUUGUCCGGAUUUAUUGGGUGUAAAGCGAGCGCAGGCGGUUCUUUAAGUCUGAAGUUAAAGGCAGUGGCUUAACCAUUGUACGCUUUGGAAACUGGAGGACUUGAGUGCAGAAGGGGAGAGUGGAAUUCCAUGUGUAGCGGUGAAAUGCGUAGAUAUAUGGAGGAACACCGGUGGCGAAAGCGGCUCUCUGGUCUGUAACUUACGCUGAGGCUAGAAAGCGUGGGGAGCAAACAGG